CGGUCAUGUUUUCGAGCUUGUUCCCUCCUUCUCGGACGUUGAAUCUCUUGACCAUCUUUUCUCUUUACCCAAUCCACACUUUCUACCUUCCAACCCCCUUUACGAUUUCUCUAUUUUUUUAUUUUCAAUAUAAUGUCACCCGGUAUGUCGUGGCUCAUGCAAUCCGCAAUCCAUUGUCCAUACGCCCUCACUCUCUGAAACAAGUUUUCGUGUUUUUAACUUGUUUGUUGGAAACACGGGAAAUCUGUAGCGUGCAUGAAGCAAAUUCCAGAAUAAGAAAGAUAAAAUAUCUAAAGUACCGAGGUAUCGUUAAAGGCAUAGAACGGAUGCAUUAGUUGAAGAUAACUACAGGAGAAGGGAAAUACGUAAUAAGUGCCUUAGUGAUUACGUUCGCUAUCUCAUAAUUAUCUAUGUGAAAUCUUGCGUGGCAUUACGCGAUCGGCUAUUACAUUGCUAUGAUUGUAACAAGAGAUUGUUGUAUAACCGGGAAAUGUGUAUAGCACCUGACUAUAAUUCGACGCCAUGUUGCGCUAUCGGGUACCGUUUAUCGAUCACCUGUGCAGACGAUUGAACGUAGCCUUUCUAAACAGGCCGAUCGAAAGGCAGAGUCGUCUGCGGUCCCUUGUUUCAUCGUCUGUGAACGUACUCGCGAAAGCUCGAAAGGUCUUUUAUGCGCAGCAAUGCCUCGAAAAAUAACGCUCUCAAGGGCUGAAAGAGAUUGGAAAACGGAGAAAAAUGUUAUGGAAGGAAAUUCGAAGCUGUUCGAUCCUCGGAAAUAGGAAAGGGAGCAGGAACUGCGAGUUCCGCGAGCACGGUGUCGAAUAAACCGUGGCAACGUAAAAGUUUCGAUUGCAUUUGAAAAUGGAAAAACCACGUGUGUAAUGUAUCGCAAAGUUCUUGUAAGCUAUUCCUGUAUGCAUGGUAACCAAACGUGUUCGUUUGUACUAGCGGCCAUUAAAAAUAAUGGGUUUAAGUUAUCAUGGAAUGAAAACUGACGUAACAACGCGAUUCAGAGAUAUUUCAGCCGAGUUUUUUAACCUCUCCAACCAAAACGAACAAAUUUACGAUCCUUUGGUACAAACGGUGCGUACGUAAAAAGAUUGAAACGAGAAACCUUUUUACACGGCGAAAGAUGUCAUAUAACGAAGACGCAAAGCAGAUUUUACUUUACGAUCUGAGCGUGAACGUGCAAUACGCGCACUAUUGCACACGAUGUGAAUAACAACUACUUUCCCCGGUUAAUCGCGGAUCUUUACAGUUUCAUAUAAGCAAGCAGAGGGUUGGACGACGUCGCAUUUCAAGUCGCAUUCAUUUCGUUUAUCACCGUCGUAAUAUUUGCCAGGCAUCUGCGUUUACAAAAGCCUGAUUUACAAAGUUGAGUUAUCAGAGGUUUAGUUCGAUCUUCGAUUCAUCCUUUACGGUGGUACGUGCGAAAUAUCUCAUUAAUAUCUAAUUAAUUUCGUCACUAAUAUCUCAAAUGACGACGGUUGAUCAUACCGUGACGCAAAUUACGAACUAAUAAUAAUCAUAUCGAUGUGGACAAAAUGAUAGCCAAAUAGUUUCAGAACUAUAAUCAGAAACCGAGUGCUGCUAACUUACGACUUAUCCAAACGGUUAAUGGCAGCGACAAGCUAAUUACUGAGCGUUAACGACGAGGCUAAUGCUUUUGUAAAAAUUAUUCGCCAACUCAACAUCGAUGUAAUAUUUCACAAGCUAUGACUUUAUAAGAGCACAAACCGGAUCAGUCAUCAUCACAGUUUAUUACCGGAAAGUUCCAAAACUUUUACUGAUACAGGAGAACGUUUACUUAGCAAGUUUUGUAAUUGCGCUAUGAAACUGUUAUCGAGAUAUACCACAUAAACAUUUACAUACUCUACGAAUUCAAGUAAAAGCAUUCACAUUUUAUAAUUCUAAUUUAAAAAGGAAUGGACGAUUCUUCCAAAUUCUGGAAACUGUUUUAAGGUUUAAAAUAUGUAGGAAUAUCAUACAUUUUCUAGCAGCAUAAUAUCUAGCCUUUCUUUUUCAUUUUUCUUUGUCGUUGGACCGGAAUACGAAUUGGAAUCGCUAGAAACUGGAAUAAUAUCCGACCUGGCCUGCACCUUCGUUAUCUUUGCUACGAGACUGUUUGCCUCACAUCCCUCUCGAAUGAAAGAAUUUUAUAUAUAAAGUAUAGGUACCAUCGUUCGAACUCUGUUACUUCGAUUUUCGAUUUUCCUCGUGUAUUUGCCAUGUAGUUUUGAAAAUUGGACUAUCUACGGAUAAAUUCGAUGAGCGUAAUACCCUGCAUAAAUUUCGACGGAAUUUCGUCGAUGUUAAAUUUUCAACGACCGUGUAUAAAAACUAUCCAGUUAAGCUAGCAAUUGACCAUUAAAGCGAAACGCAGGUCGUUUCGCUAUAUAGUAUGAUGGCCGCAGGAUAUACAGCCAGAUAUUUAAAGGUCGUUCCUAAAAAUAUCAUUGAAAAUGCUCUGCAACUUUUAUGCGACUGACGUAAAGCUCGAUAUUUUAUUGUAUCCUUUCGAAAUUAGAUAUUAAUUUACUACUCGAUCGUAGAUAAUAAAAUGACGGAUAUAUGUUUUAGUCGAUUGUUUUAUGGUGCAGUAUCCACUAUUCCGAGUGUCUGCAUUAUACUUUUUCGAGUAUCGAAGAAAGACGCAUUAGGAAAAAGCACUUUCGUUCCAAUUUGUUACGAAAGAAGACGAAAGCCUACUUCAAGCUGAGCUUGAACAGCCACUCGUAAAUGUUUUGCCGAGAAAAACGUUGCACUUGUUGCGCUUACAUUCAAUCUCGGUAGCAUAUUUUUUGCAUCUUUAAUUAUUCCUUAUUUCUAUGGCAAUUAUUAAACAUUAUACAGUUACUAGAUAAGACUCGCAACGCUAUAAAAAGUUCCAUUAUUCGCAGUUACUUGCGCCCCAUAUUUCACUUUACAGACGAGGAGUUUAAAUUCUCGCCAAAUAUCGCAUCUUGAGAAGUUAAAAAAGCUGGUUUCGAUGAUCAAAGUUACACGGCGUAUGAAACUUGUUAAACUACGUGGAUUACUACGUAUAACACGUCGUAGUAAAGUGACGGUAAGAUGCAACGUUUACAAUAAAACGUUUUGUGAAAUAUUUUGUCUGUGUGAAAACAAAGAGGAAAGUAGAAUAUCGAGAAACAUUUAAAGAUUGUCAACACGGUUCUUAAAACGUACGAAAGAUUUACAUUUCGCAUUUGGUUAAUUUCAAUCUCUUCACAAGGAAGAAGGCUUUUCCUGUUGUCGGCGCAUUUGAGUGCUUUUAUUGCGGGUCAGUAGAUUUUUCGGUUCGAAUAACUCGGAGAAAAAAAUGUGAAAAAUUAAUGUUUGUCAUUUUAUAGUUGGUAAACCCUCCUCGUACGUUUAUGAUCACGAGGGUGCCCGACUGUUUCCCAAUUGCGAGCUUUUGCAACGCUAUCGUAGAUGUAAUCGAUCCCGAAUAUAUAUGGCGCGUGCUUGCGAUCGUGGCGAGUUUCGUAAACGGAACGAGAGGAAAUAAUUUACGAAAGGGGCUAAAAUACGGUGACCGUAACGCGACUGGCAUGAACAAUGCAAGACGCAAUUAUGGUUAUUGCCGGCAAUCGUGACUCGUUACAGAGUUUGCGGAGUCCACAGAUCGAACUUGAUUUACAUGACGUUCGGUUACAUUACUUAGCUCUGUGUUUGACUUAAUUCAGAUUUUAAUGUUGUACACACCGAAUUUCUCGGUUCUCUUUGCAUAGAUACGCGAUACAGAUGCUGCUUCCUUCGUAAAUCUUUACAAUUUAAAUAUUUCGGAGAUUGCAUGUUCUCCAGUCCAUUUUCUACAUAGUUGAAUUCGCAUGGAGAAAUUGACAAAGAACCCAAUAUCUUGGGCUGCUUUCCGCAUUCGUCUUGCCGGUAACUCGCCCUUAACCAACGGAGUUUCAGUCUUCGAUCGGCCCGUGUACUCGCAUUUUUUCAUUUUCUUCUUUUUUCUUCUUUGGUUCCUCGAAAAGUAUUUCGAAGUAUUUUACCUUGAAGCGAGUGGUUUGUGCCACUAAGGUGGCAGACAGUUUAUGGGCGACCGCUUUAGUUUCCGAUCAACUUUACAACAGCGUUUUUAAAGAUUACCUGUUUCCUCGAAAACGCUUUAUCCAGCUAAAAAUUCACCCAGAAAAAUUGUGCCCGUUAUUUAUGCAUUUUGGAAGAUUUAAGCUAAUUACUUUCCUGCGAAUUGCUAAACAUAAAGAAACAUGGUGUUUUUGCAGAAAGGAAUAUUUAUUCCUACAUUUCCUAUUUUGUACAUUUAUUCGCCAUUGCUUUGUUAUUUCUUUUUGGCACGUAUGUUAUACUUUCUCUCUGAUACCAUUGAGAUAUACCUUUUUACAUUACCAUGUAUUUGAUGUUUUUGUUAUUUCUAGCACCAUUUACGUGCUAUUCGUAACGCUGCCUCGUAUGUACAUGUUACUAAAAAUUUCUUUAAAAUUCUCUUUGCAGAUCGUUGAAAUUACUAAAAUUUUCCAUGCCCGUCGGCGUGAGUCAUUUUCAAGAUUUGCUUUAAAUAAAAAGCGAGCUUUUCAAUUUUACAGGUUGAAGCGAGAUCAUGAAAAUUGCCAUCGAGCUCGUGUCGUUUUGUAGCAAAAGGUCGACCAUGAAGAGGCGAAUAAACCUGACAAGAUACAAAUCCUUCUUCGGUAACUGAAAUAUACUGGUGUGGAGGGAUGGUGAAUGUCGUUCGGUUUGCAGCAACACGAUGAAAUAUGAAGCAUCGGGGCAAAUAGGACGAAUGGAAGUGUGUUGCUUCGUGAUUUGUAAUGUUGCGAGCGUGACGAACGAUGUUGCGGUCUUAAUAAAUCGACGGGCUUUCAUCGAAAACAUUUAAAACGAGACAAACUGUUGACUUUCUACUGAGAAACGAAAUCUAUGAGUUUCAUAAGAAUCAAAUCGUUAACGGGCUUACAUUCGCUGAAAACAAAAGAAAGUCAAUAGGAAUUUUUGGAACGGUAAGUGCAUCAAACGUGGCCCGAAUUUGGCUGUGGCGAUGGCGAUAGAAAGAAAAUACGAGGACACCGGGAAUGGAAAAACCAGUGAGCGUAACACAAGACUCGAAAUGGAGCGAAUAGUUUGAUUUUGCACGUACGACCGUUCGGCAUCGUAGCUGGUACCAUUCGUUUACUCUUACACAAGAAUCAUGUUGCUGCAUAUUGGACGAGCGAGUGAAAAUGAAAGACGGCGAAGAACAAUCGUUUCGAGCCGCAUAAUUCUCCAUAUCGGAUUUAUCUUUCUUUUCAACGAUUUUGCUACUCCCCAUUAAAAUUUAUUGGAUUGGAUCGAUCACACCGUUUGAACGAAUUUUACCAAAUUCGGUAUUUUAUAUCACCAAAAAACAUAUCCUUCUUCGUAAACACAAUAAACUAACUUGUUUGUCAAUAUCAAUAGCUAUAUACAUACAGAGACUUUCAAAACUAUUGCAAUACGUUUUGAAACCGAAUAACUUUUUUAAAAUUGGUCCAAAUAACUGCGGUUCUUUUUUAGGAAUCAGGAAGGGAAUAGUUAGUUCACUGGGUGAGGUGUAAAAAAAAUUUUAACGAAAGUUGCAAUUGGUCGGAAUCGCGAAGCAAAAAGUAAAUUUCGCAUUUUUCAACUUUUUCAUCUUAGUCUGUAGUGAAAAUUUAAACAACACAUUUUGAACAUUUAUAGCGGUUAUAUAUACAUGCUGAAAAUUUUAUUGAAAUGGGUUGAUGUGAAAACAAGCGACAGGGAUGGAAAGAUGGCAGAUUUUAGACCGAAAAUCCUGAAAACCUUGAUUUUCUCCAUUUUUAAACGUCUGUAGCUCAUAGCAACGUUAACCGAUUUCGAUGAAAUUUUCAGCAUAUAUAUAAUUAAUUCAGAUAUUCAAAUUAUGUUGUUUAAAGUUUCAUUAGAAGUCCAGAUAAAAAAAAGUUGAAAAAUUCAACUUUUACUUUUUUCUUCGUGUGUCCGACCAAUUUGCAAAUUUUGCUAAAAUUUUUUUUGUAUGUCACCCAGUGAACUAAUCCUCCGAAUUCCUAAAAGGAACCGCGGUUGUUUGAACCAAUUUUAAAAAAGUUAUUCAGUUUCAAAGCAUGUUGCAAUGGCUUUGGAAAUCACUGUAUAUGUAUAUGCAUAUUCGAACGUAAAUUAUUACAGUGUAAUAGUACAGAAGGCUUUCACUUUUUCCAAUUUCCUUUGACUUUCGUUUAGGAAAGAGAAACCGCGAUAAGCUCAAUCUCUUUGUGGCUGUAAGUUAAGGUCUUUUUUAUCUUCCGUUACUGUAGGAGCAAUCCUUUCGAAAUCGAUCUCAUUUCAGUGGAUAGCUAUUUUCCAGUAACCUGAUUGAUGUCCGAACAAGCGAUAAUAGCAAUUUGUUGAAGCAGCAGCUAUACAAACAAAGCUGAUAGUAACGUGACAAUGUAAGUAUUAUCACGAAUCAAUUUAUUUGAUACUUCACAAUAUGAUCCCAUCUUCGUCGAUAUUCCAAUUGAGGUAAUGAGUCGGAAACGAAAGCUUUGAUACUAGCGAAGUGUAUUUGUUGGCGAGAUCGACUGGAAGUGAGAAAAUGAAAUUGAUCGUUUAUGGUUCGAAUAAUACGAUGUUGAAACGGUGAAUAAUUUUCACAAUUAGAAUACUGUGAAUCAAUCCAUUAUCAACGAAGCGUUACUCAUAUGGAUAAUGUGUAAUCUCGUUUUACGAGUUUGAAACACGUACUGACGUUUAAUUAACGGUGAUUCGAUAUCUAGCAUGUCUCCCAGGAGAAAAUGGCGGUUUGAUAUAAAAAUAUGAAAAUUUAUAGUCAUCGUGAAUUUUUCUUCGAUGUUAUCGAAUAAUACUCUGUUAAAUAUUAUAUUAUAUUAUGACACUGUAAUAAUAUCUGUUAAAUAUAAUGUACAUAUACAUAUAUAUAUAUAUAUAUAUAUAUAUAUAUAUAUAUAUAUAUAGAGAGAGAGAGAGAGAGAGAGAGAGUAACUAAUAAUGGACAUUAAUUAACGCGACUGAAACAAUGGUCGCGACGACGUAGGAGAAUGAAAAAGUCGAUUCGUGACGGAAGGGGGGGGGGAUUCUCUUUAAUAGUUUGAAAUCUCUCAAUUUUCAACUCGCCAAAUAACGUCGAAGCAGACGCCGUCGUGCAAUUUCUUUUAUUCGUGGCGUGCAACUUUUCAACAUAUACCAGCAACGAGGCGACGAAGUGAUGGAAACUUUGCCUGGAACGACAAGUUUCAAGCGAUAUCCAAACAAGAAGAGAGGAAUCGGUCGCUCUUGGCAUUUAAACAGGCAAAAGCCACGAUUUCGCGCGCUCCUCUUAUUUGCUUUGCCAUCAGGAAAACUUAGAGAGCAUAUCUACCAACGUUUCACGCGCUACCUGUGCUUCGAUCGAUCUUCUCUGAUUUCGUAGUCGAGACGUUGUCUUAACUCUGACUGAUGUUAACCUGGCACGAGACGAUAUGCGCGUUGACCUCAAGAUUAAUGUUCCCAUAGAUUAGCGGCAGCGAUACUCUUGAUACGCGAUGAAUAGAAAAACUCACUCGCGAUUGGAUUUUUAUCAUGCGUACUCUUCUUAUAUAGCUACCGCUUAACCCUUUCAGAUAUCGCGUUGUAAAAUACCAUUUAAAGGAAAUAUCAGCCGGCGAACGCCUCGAGAUUGAUUUCUGAUUUCAAGCCUUGAUUCCGGCCGUAACUUUGGUAGACCGGUUUGCUUCUACGUUUCUCCUUCUCGGGAGGAAUAGAAUUGGAAUAUCUUAAAGAAAAAGAUUUGCCUUCGGUCUACCAAGCGAUCCUUUGUAAUUCCAAUUAGGGUUACGAUCGAGAAUGAGAAUAGGGAUGAUAAGGAUCGAGCCUAAGUCGAGCACGAGGGUGUUACCACGCGUAAAAUUUUAACGCAUUCAUAGGUGAAAGGUUUAUGCUGGGACGGUUGAAAAAUAAAUUACGGGGUGUGCGAUAAACGGAAUUACUCGUGCAAUUUUCUGCGGUCGCGUGGGCAAGAGUAAGUGUAGUAGCAGUAAAUCCAACGGCGGCACUUAAACGCACUAGCAGCUUCUAAAUAGAAAAUUACAGUCCUAUUCGAGCAAUUCGAGUAAAUUAACGUCAACGAUGCUUCGUUUCGAUCUACGCUUUGAGCCUGUACUUGGAAUUUAUUCAUUCGCGUUCGCAUGCUCAGAAGAAUCGUUCGAAUUGUUUUUACUUCUAUAAAUUCUCAACCGUUUCGUUCCAUUUGCCUCGCAUACCAUUGUAACUCGAUGAUUAGGCUCCACUUCAAUUUUACUAAGGGACUCGAUCGAUACUUUAUCUCCCAGCAAACCUUCCUAAUGCAGGGGGAAAGCCGGAUGGAACGACGCGUCGUUGGUCCGUACAUGUGGGACUUUAUAUUCCAAUUUAUCACAUACUACAUACCGAAAUUCACGCACGUUUAUUUAUUUAUUUAAGAUAGGAACUGUGUUAAUAUUAAAAAUUCACCAGCUAUAUUCGCUUGAAAAAAUAAUACGUUGGAUUUAUAUUGUUGGUCUCCUAAGUAACGGCACUCGUCUUUCAUCUUUAAUGCUCUCUGGGUUAUGUGUGCAUAUAGUUACUACGAUUAAGCAUUAAAUAUUUGCAUCCUCUGUAAUAUUUAGGUGGCAAAAGUUACGGGAGUACUAACGUCUCGAAUUUAAUUAAACGUUUCUAAUGAAACGUUCUGUAAACGGCAACGCGAAGUUCCAUUAAAAGUGAUAGAGAAGAAAGGUAUACGUAUACGAAAUAAACGUAUUACGUUAAGACGAAAAUGAUUUUAAGAAAGCUCCGUGUUUUUCUCACUUUGCCUUGUAAUAAAUAUCCAGAAAUCCACGUGGUGACGAUAUUGCUAGCAUACUUGAACUUCAUGCAAAUUCGCUAAGUCGUUUACAUCGACGUAUCUCAUUGCUCCAGUAAUACACGAUCGUUAAAAAUUCACUCAGUAUUUGAACAAUAGCUAUAAGUCUCGCGUUUCAACCUUUUAUUUUCUCGAAGGGUAAAAUUGCAAACUCGUUCACGUAUUGAAAUUGAGAAAUUGUUUCAUCUUGAACAAAACGCGUGUUUUCACCGUGUCUUCAGUUAUCCUUAAUCCUUCUUAGGAAGAAGUCAGAAGUUUGAAAUGUUCCCUGGUUCUUGUUCUUAAACAAAGAGUCAUCUGCGCGGAUAAUUAAUUACGAAUAACAAUACCUGCGCUUCAUAAUCGGGAAAUGUACACGUUAAUCUCGUCGUUUCGUGGACGUAAUCGUCGCAGCAAAUUUAUCGCCGAUUAAAGUUCUAACCCGCGAAACACGAUUCUUUGGCUCGCUCCUUUGACUUGCCCGCUUUUUUUAAUUAACGAUAUUUCAUCAUAAAACUCUACUAUAAAUGCUUUUACACUCCGCAAGCGUGUAAUUUGAUUUUCAUGAAGCUCGUGCAUUUAGUUUAAAAUUAAAGCAGACUACUGACCGAGCUUGUGAUAUAACGAAAUUGCAGAAACAACGUGCGAAAAAUUCCACCGGCCAAGAAUUACACUGUCGAAUGCACUAGCAAGUAUGUAAUUAGUUUUGCGCCAAUUUUUCAUUUUCCGCAACAAGCUUUAAUAACACUGACAGGACACGUUUUCCGCACCAAUGCGAAUUACGGUAAAAUCAUAUUCGUUAUACGCGAACGAAAUUGCCAUAGCGUAAACAAUAUUAUCGAGCCAAGCGAAAUUUCUACGGUGCCAGGUUUCGAGAUUAUCCUAUCGCGGCUCGGUGUCCACGUUUAAACGAUUCGGAAUUAAAUCACCUUCUUCUUGGGAAUAUCGUUAAUGUUAUCGCGAGUCAUAAACAAAACGAGAAGCGUAAUUUAAGGAGUUCGUUUAACGGUAUGCUACAGCAUCGGAUAUUUUCCAUAGAAUAGACUUUGGCUGGGUAAGAAGCGUCGAAGCGAGGCGGGAUAAAGGCUCUUAAUUGGCUUCUAAUCACUGCCUCUGGGUAACAGGCAUGGCCAUUAAUCUUACUGGGUUGCUAGUUCCGUUCCGUGGCUCCUCUUCUCUUCCUCUUUUCGCGUCGAUUUUGACAAGAUGGACUAUGUUACCCAGGCUCUAGAAAUCGGAAAGUUAAUCUUGCUACGGAAAUAGACAAGCAGAGAGUAGGGAUUGCAUACAAGAGCAUUCAAUUUUCCUAUGAUAAUUACUGUGACAGUGAUCACGACGUCACGAGUGCACACGUGCUUCAACGCUGCCGUUAUGCCGCUACUUUUCACAAAUUUAAAUCAUGGGAAUUGGGGACGAGCGAGAAGCACGACGAUGAAAAGCAGCGAUCUAGGAAGUUGGUUGGUAGAUUUGCUGGAAAACAGGUUAGCCGCUAGUCGAUCUGAAACAGAAAAUUAAUGACUACUUUCCUGUUUUCAUGCUCUCUCCUUCAGAGAAUCCAGGAUGGAUAGUCUAGUCAGGGCCAAUUCAUUUAUCUUAUUUCCGCGUAUUUAAGAAAUUCGACGUGCUGGAAACAGCGAGAGGCAAUGGUGUAGCCUCUGAAAGUCAUUGGAAAUUCGAGAACGAUGAGCGAUAAGGGUAUCACUUGUAAAAUAGGAAAAUUUGGUAGCGUUUACUUCCGUUGGCAAUUACAUUUCGAAUUACCUUCCAAAUUGAGCAGCGUAAUUGCUCCCUCGAGAUGCAAUUAAACCGAUAGCCGUUUUCGUGGGUCACCAGAAGAGCCAUGUUACUUCCGCCUCAACAUUCUACCAAUCUUUGAAUCGACCUUCAUCGCAUCGAUGUUUGAAGUUUACACGCGACUAUUAAUGGCAUUGAAGCAAAGAAAUCUGGUUCUUUUUGAAAAAAAGGUGGAUCAAAAUAAUCGGCGUUGCUAAAUUAGAUGUCCUGCAUUUAUUUGGACACUUUUUAAAACGAUAAAAAGCUAAAUAUGUUGCCGCAACGUGGAAAGUGAAAGACUACUUCUACGGACAGAGAGAACAAUAACUAGAAGAAAUAGGAGGAAUUUAUUUCCGGGGAUAAAGGGAGAAGAUGGGCAAGACAAUAGGGACUUUUGUAACUACGCACUCGAGAAUUUCUUCUUUCGUCCGCUUCUGCUUGCAUGUUUUAUUCUUAUCGUCGGACGUGGUUAAUAUUUUGCUUCUCAACGAGGCGCCGUGCCAGCGCUUUUUUCGUAGACGGAAAAACGGGAGCAAUGCAAAUAGAACAGAAACUGAAUAUUUCGCGUGAAAAUUGUGCAAACGACGAGCGUGCUAAGUGGCAGAAGUAUCGUGUUCUUUUCGACGUUGAUUCACCGAAAUGCUGGUAGUUGUAUCACGAUGUCGAGCUCGUAGCUUUUUCCCCAUGCAGCUUUUAGACGAUCCGGUUGAAACGGGUAAAAUGUACACUUCGCUCUCCGAUACUGUGAGAAACGUGAAAAAUGUUACGGUUGAUGUCUAUGACAAGAGUGAUGGUAUGAAAAGUCUAAAAGGCUUCACGCCAUUCCCAGUGUCCUUCCAAUGACCGCGCGCAACGCGAAAGAGCGUGAAACAAAAAUGUCAUGGGACAGAAUCGAUAGUACAUGUGAGCACGAGGAUAAAGAUUUCUAACAAGUAGGCUUAAGAUGACCAAUCAAGUUGAGAAACUAAAGUGAGUUAUAGGAACGUGACGAGAAAACUGAAAACGGAAGAAUGGUAACGGAGAAUUUUACGUUGAGAGAGAAAAAGUGAAAGCAUUUUUUUGUUUUCAGUCGAUGGAAACAACUGAAUUGAAAGAUACUGUCUACAAGAGUAUGGUACUGGAAGCAUCAUGAUAUAAAAGCAUUAAGACGAGAAUGAGAUCGAUUUUCUUUCGUUCAGUAUUUUCCUGUUCGAUUUUCUGCUUAAUCUCGAAUAUUUAUUUAAAAACUUGCAAAGAUACGUCGUAUUAUUUUAUAAUUUUGAACUUGUACAGUUGAACGCAACUAAAAUCUUACCUCGGAGGGACGGAGGAUGAAACAGAGAAACACAGAAACCUACUCUCUGGGAUAACAGGCAGAAAUUGGCUGAUAUUAUGCAAGUUAUGUUUCUCUGCGCAUUGUUCAGCAUCCAGUUCGACCCUUACUCUGUGCUUAGGAUCAGUUUAUAGUACCAGUGGUGCUCGUCUUCGAUAUACCGUUACUGAUUGCGCAUAUCCUUCAUCGCUUAUCUUAGACAUCAAUGUGAAGUGUGUGUAUGUCCUUGCGAAGUAUUUUAUCGAGUAUAUGUAUUCUUAGAAUACAAGGUUUUUAAGCGCAAGAAUAAGAAAGAUAAAGAUUAUAAGUGAUAAUGGACCAUUUACGGUCAGACGGUCUUCCACGAACACUGUAACAUGUCCCUUUUUUCACGGCAUAACUUACUUAACAACUUGACAACUUAACUUAACUUGUUGCAGCGGUGGUAGUGAAACACUCUCUGUAUGCGUCAAUCGAAUAUCUAUACAUAGACGACCUCUUCGUUCCAUAGUGAUUACAUUUGUGGGCAGCCAAUCGAACUAUUGGCAAUACGGUCAAUUAGAGUAGCUUGAUCAUCGUGCAACUAUGCACACGAGUCAUUAAGUAACUUCUAGUCAAAGCGACGUUAUCCGUACGUUAUAAAAAAAAUUGAUGCGAUAACGCAACACUGUAUAAUGAAAAUUGUGUAACUUCAGUGAACAAUGCAAUCUUUCAAGGUGAACAUUACGACCUACAAUUAAGACGGGAAAAGGAAAAGAUAUCUACGCGGUUGAGUGGAUAAGAGGAUGAUGGAUCUCUUCUGGUAGCAAGUAACGCUUCUUUCUCGAGUAGAGUAGAUCGAAAAGAGAGCCUAACCGUGCAAGCUAUCGAACGAUGAACAGUAAAAGCUGCUCGAAGCUGGUGGAUCGUUCUGUAAAAACGGUACCGUUCAAAGUAUAAAAGAGAUGAAAAGUGGCUGAAGAACCAUGAACCACGCGUAAACAGUAAACAAUUUUCUAGCGAAUGCUGUAGUUCCAAAUAAAUGUUAAAGAAGCUUUUAGAAGAUGAAAGCAUAUUACUUUAUGAAAUCAAUUUUCAUUGUUUCCUGGAAAGUCACAAGUUGGACGUGACAACCAAAUAGAGGAACGUAAUAACUCUUAUGUGUCUGGAGCAUUUGUGAAAAAUAUUAGCGAGAAAAGAAAAUAUUGAGAAAUGAGAGAGAUAACAAAAUAAGAAUAUUGUUUUUACGAUCGACAUUUGUAUUGUUACGAAGAAAUAAAGAAAGGAAGGAGGCGAAGGCAGGAGAUGGGAAAACUUUUCCCCGCUGUCACCACCGUACGUUAGAAGUCAUAAAUUAUGCGACCUUAGGAGUUUUUCGGAUACGUGUCUCUCCUUUACUUUGGCUUCCUUAUCGAAUUUUUCUGGUUUUCCAUCCAGUAUGUAUACAACGUGUCGCGAUCAUCUUAUAUGUUAAUUCGAGAAAAUGUCGCACUUAAAAGUAUGAAUUUAUUCGAAUAAAGUUCCUUCGGUCUCUU